AAUUCGCCCUUACUCCUACGGGAGGCAGCAGUGGGGAAUAUUGCACAAUGGGGGAAACCCUGAUGCAGCAACGCCGCGUGAGUGAUGAAGGCCUUCGGGUUGUAAAGCUCUGUCUUCAGGGACGAUAAUGACGGUACCUGAGGAGGAAGCCACGGCUAACUACGUGCCAGCAGCCGCGGUAAUACGUAGGUGGCAAGCGUUGUCCGGAUUUACUGGGCGUAAAGGGAGCGUAGGCGGAUACUUAAGUGGGAUGUGAAAUACCUGGGCUUAACUUGGGUGCUGCAUUCCAAACUGGGUGUCUAGAGUGUUGGAGAGGAAAGUGGAAUUCCUAGUGUAGCGGUGAAAUGCGUAGAGAUUAGGAAGAACACCAGUGGCGAAGGCGACUUUCUGGACAAUAACUGACGCUGAGGCUCGAAAGCGUGGGGAGCAAACAGGAUUAGAUACCCUGGUAGUCCACGCCGUAAACGAUGGGUACUAGGUGUAGGGGGUAUCGACUCCCCCUGUGCCGCCGUUAACACAAUAAGUACCCCGCCUGGGGAGUACGGUCGCAAGAUUAAAACUCAAAGGAAUUGACGG
rnacentral:rRNA from 1 species